GAUGAACGCUAGCGGCAGGCUUAAUACAUGCAAGUCGUGGGGCAGCAUGUCCCGCAGCAAUGCGGGAUGAUGGCGACGGGCAAACGGGUGUGGAACACGUACACAACCUUCCUUAAAGCGGGGAAUAGCCCAGGGAAACUUGGAUUAAUACUCCGUACAAUAUAGAAGCGGAAUCGCUUAUAUAUUAUAAAAGCAAUGGGAUUGAAGAUGGGUGUGCGGCUGAUUAGGUUGUGGGCGGGGUAAUGGCCCACCAAGCCGACGAACAGUAACUCGUGGAGGCGAACGACCAGUGAAACGAGAACUGAGACACGGGCCCGACUCCUACGGGAGGCAGCAGUAAGGAAUAUUGGUCAGUGGACGCAGGUCUGAACCAGACAUGCCGCGUGGAGGAUGAAGGUCCUCUGGAUUGUAAACUUCUUUUAUCUGGGAAGAAAUCCAUUUUUUCUAAAAUGGUUGACGGUACCAGAUAAAUAAGCACCGGCUAACUCCGUGCCAGCAGCCGCCGUAACAC
rnacentral:rRNA from 1 species